AGAGUUUUAUCCUGGCUCAGGAUGAACGCUGGCGGCGUGCUUAACACAUGCAAGUCGGACAAAGCACCUUUUUCUGAUUUCUUCGGAAUGAAAAAUUCAGUGACUGAGUGGCGGGACGGGUGAGUAACGCGUGGGUAACCUGCCUCAUACAGGGGGGAUAACAGUUAGAAAAUGACUGCUAAUACCGCAUAAGACCACAGCACCGCAUGGUGCAGGGGUAAAAACUCCGGUGGUAUGAGAUGGACCCGCGUCUGAUUAGGUAGUUGGUGGGGUAACGGCCUACCAAGCCGACGAUCAGUAGCCGACCUGAGAGGGUGACCGGCCACAUUGGGACUGAGACACGGCCCAAACUCCUACGGGAGGCAGCAGUGGGGAAUAUUGCACAAUGGGGGAAACCCUGAUGCAGCGACGCCGCGUGAGCGAUGAAGUAUUUCGGUAUGUAAAGCUCUAUCAGCAGGGAAGAAAAUGACGGUACCUGACUAAGAAGCACCGGCUAAAUACGUGCCAGCAGCCGCGGUAAUACGUAUGGUGCAAGCGUUAUCCGGAUUUACUGGGUGUAAAGGGAGCGUAGACGGAGUGGCAAGUCUGAUGUGAAAACCCGGGGCUCAACCCCGGGACUGCAUUGGAAACUGUCAAUCUGGAGUACCGGAGAGGUAAGCGGAAUUCCUAGUGUAGCGGUGAAAUGCGUAGAUAUUAGGAGGAACACCAGUGGCGAAGGCGGCUUACUGGACGGUAACUGACGUUGAGGCUCGAAAGCGUGGGGAGCAAACAGGAUUAGAUACCCUGGUAGUCCACGCCGUAAA
rnacentral:rRNA from 1 species